AUUGAACGCUGGCGGCAGGCCUAACACAUGCAAGUCGAACGGUAACAGGAAGAAGCUUGCUUCUUUGCUGACGAGUGGCGGACGGGUGAGUAAUGUCUGGGAAACUGCCUGAUGGAGGGGGAUAACUACUGGAAACGGUAGCUAAUACCGCAUAACGUCGCAAGACCAAAAAGGGGGACCUUCGGGCCUCUUGCCAUCGGAUGUGCCCAGAUGGGAUUAGCUAGUAGGUGGGGUAACGGCUCACCUAGGCGACGAUCCCUAGCUGGUCUGAGAGGAUGACCAGCCACACGGGAACUGAGACACGGUCCAGACUCCUACGGGAGGCAGCAGUGGGGAAUAUUGCACAAUGGGCGCAAGCCUGAUGCAGCCAUGCCGCGGGUAUGAAGAAGGCCUUCGGGUUGUAAAGUACUUUCAGCGGGAGGAAGGGAGUAAAGUUAAUACCUUUGCUCAUUGACGUUACCCGCAGAAGAAGCACCGGCUAACUCCGUG
rnacentral:rRNA from 1 species